AUGCAAUAUAUUUUUAAUUUAAAAAAUUCACAAUGUCAGGCAUGGUGGCAUAAGCAUGUAAUUCAAGUGCUUGGGAGACUGAGACGAGACAAUCGUGAAUUCAAAGUCAGCCUAGGCCGCGGAGCAAGACCAUGUCUAGAAGGAAAAAGAAGAUUCACAAAGGGCAGCCUGAAUAUUGUAUUGAUAGUGUUCCUAGGCAACUUAAUAAAGAUCAACUCCAUAUGCUAGAAAAUUUUUGACCAUUCAAAGCUAAUAACUCUAUUAUCUCUAAUCUUUUCUUGUUUCCCAAUUCUGCCUACAAAGAUUGUCUGUAUUUUAAGUGUCUAAUAUGGACAUUUAAAAAAGUCUGCCUCCUACUCUGUCAGUUUCUAAUUUGAGAAAUAGUUUGCAGUAGCACGUCUUUGAAUUUCGAACACCAGCCAUGAUGAGUUAAAGAGCUCCUAUCUCACCCAAUUUCAUCGUGUGCUACUUUUCUAAGUUCCUGGGGUGGGUGUCUUAUUUCUUUUGUAAAUUAAAAUUGCUUUCUUUUCUUCUGUUAAUGGUUUUGCUCUGGGUUUCUCUUGGGGUCUCUAAUCUUUUCUUUGGCUCACCUUCUGUCACCCUCCCUUAUUUGUAGAUCUCUGAGGAAGGUUUCCUUUGAAUGCCAAUAACACUUUACAAUUAUCCAGGAAGCCAACAAGAACACCAAAUGUCUCUUUCCCAUCACUGGUGAACAGUUUUGUUUUGUCUUCUGCAGCCCGGGCAGGAACUGGUUGGGGAUAUGACGCCCUCCACCAACGGAGAGUGAUUGAUUCCACAGAAGCUCCUGACUGCCCUGGCAGGCUCGGAACUGAGGGAGCCUUUCUUUGCAGUCACGUGGUUAAUGCUUUUGUGCUACACAGUUUAUUCACUCUACAGCUUCCUCCUCAAAUACAACAGGAGGGGACCAAGAGAUCACAGGAGUGACAAUAAUGCUUCUGAGAGGCAGAAUGCAAAAAGUCCCCAGCUCCAGAGUCUGGCAGACCGGAAUGCAAGACAGGAAUGCAAGAUAGGACGUGGAUAACAUGCUUUCCUUAUUGUAAGGUCCUCCUGUAUCGAGGCUGGCCUCAGACUCACUAUAUAGUAUGCAUACCUCAGUUAUUUGAUGCAUGGGAUGGAAC
rnacentral:lncRNA from 1 species